CAAAUUGUAGCUUAACUAAAGCCUUCGCUUCACCGAAAAUAUGUCUGUUAAACCCGGACCACUUUGAG
rnacentral:tRNA from 1 species